UUAGAGGAAGAAGGAGAAAGAAGGAAAAUGGAAACAGACAACAAACCUAGCAGAAGAACAUGACUUCAUUGGGAAGGACAGACAUUGCUUUCAGAAAAUCCUCAUGCAGACAAUGGUCUCACAGAGAAGGUGUGGAUCUUGGAAAUGAACAUGAUGACCAGUUAAGGAUCAUGAAGGGUACGCAAAGGAACAGGAAACAGCACAAUUUCAUGCGCUACUGAAGCAAAAGUCACGCAAGGAGUGCAAGGGUGACCCAUGCUAACAAGUACCCAAUUAAAAUUUUGGAAUUACACAAAUGACCUGUUCUUAAAUUUCACUUUGGAAAAA